AGGUCAAAACACCCACCCUCUUUCUUUUGGGUGCUCAGGAUCUUCGUGUUCCAGUUUCUACCGGGUUGCAAUAUGCUCGGGCAUUGAAAGAGAAAGGAGUUCCCGUCAAAGUCAUUGUGUUUCCUAAUGAUACUCAUGCCAUUGAGAGGCCGCAAUCGGACUUUGAGAGCUUUCUGAAUAUUGGUGUGUGGUUCAAGAAGUAUUCUUAGACUGGCCAAUGAAGGAAAUAGUGGAGUCGGCCUAUGGAGGUAGAACGUCGACAAGGGGACUGGACUGCCGAUGCAAUGCAAAUGAAGCUGAAGGUUUGAGAAAAAUGGUGCUGCAAUUUCCAAACAGAGAUUAGGAGGGAGGAGAAUU